UAUACUUUCAAGUAAGUUUAUUUUAAUUGUAUUUUAAAUUUAAACGCGCAGUUCUUGCAAUAUAGAACAAUAAUUGCUCCUUUUCCAUAAUGUUCAAUUAUGAAACAUUUCGCUCUUUUAACCACCCUUCUUUCUCCGUCUUGGAAUUAAAAUCCCUAUCUAAUAUGAAAGUAAUCUUGUGGGCCUCGGCUAUUUAAUAUUCUAUAUAUUCAUUAUUCUUCUAAUUGAUAUAACAAUUUCACAUCCCAUGAAAAAAAGUUUUGAUUGAGGCUUGCAUUGUCGAUCAACCGUAAACUGAUAAGCUAUUUCUGAUGUUGAAGGCAUGUCAUUUCUUCUGAAUAGAGUAGCUCGGCUUAUUUGAACUUCUCUCCUCCCAGAAUUUAGAAACAAUUUAGUUCGCUCCAUAUCGCAACAGAAAGGAAGUUUGAAUAACCUCAUAUAUCGAAUGCGGGGAGAAUUUCACUAACUUUCAAUGAAAAUAAGUAAUUGGCUGGAGCAUCGAUAGGAAAACUUGGGUAAUCGAGCUUUAGAGAUAAAAAAUAAACAUUUUUAAAUGUAGCUAUUCUAAUUUUAUUUAUACAAAUUUGGUAUUGAACCUCUUUGAACUUAAACAUGUAAAAAAAAUCAUUUUCAUAAAAUUUUUAAAAAUAUGAAAUGUUUUAAGACAAAGACGUAGUUUGAAAGCAACGUUGCUUGUUGUAAACAAAAAAAGCACAAUUUGAUCACUUUUCUGCAAUUCACCUUCAAAAAUUUAAAAACGGUAAUCUUUACUUUCUGAAUUGAAUUAGUUAUGUUUUGAACCUUGAGCUUCAGCGCAGAUUAUCCUACAAAAGUAUCUUGUACUAGAAUAAUAUCUAUAUAAAAACGGUAAUCGCUAGCAAUGAGUUGCCGCUGAACUAUUUUUAACUAUUUGAAACUUUCUAAGAUGAAUUAAAAUAUACACGCUUGAUGGACGCUUAGAUAGAAUGAGGAAGAAACAUUAAUAGUCUCUGGAUAUUCCAUGCAUGUGGCUUCUAAACGACGUGAGUGCCAGAAUUAUAUGGGUUUUACAUGGUAAAGGCUAAUGACAGAGACAAGAACCAUGGUGAUUGUUUUCUUGUGCCUUUUUCUACAAAUGUGCCGAUUGAAUGAAUGUUAAGUUGGCAUCUUCAAUGUGUAAAAAUGAUUGGAACAUUAGAUCUUGAAUUUAAACUGUUUCACUAAACCACAUAGUUUCUGUUAGAUUCAUUACAUUUUUUAAUCAUUUGAGUGAAAUGGAAAGUCACAGAAAUCAUUAAAGAAGCAGAUUAGCCGUUUAAUGGGAACAAUUGCACAACGUCAUUCACCAUAAGAAGAGGGAGGGACUGCCUUUACAGCUUUUGGCAAAAAGCACGGAUAGUAGCUGUCCAGAUGGCCAAAAAAAAUUUUGUUUCACACAAAGUAAUAUCGGCUGGAUAACUUUUGACGCUUAAUAGAUACUAAUUUGCGUGAUAAAGAUAUGAUGCCAAACACCGUAUUUUCUCAGUUCCAUACACAUGUCAUCUAUAUCAAUUUUGCUGGAUGCGAGGAAGUAUUCGCUUAAGAUACGUCUAUGUAUCCAAAGGCACAAUUGACAUGUUUUGACCGAAAUGACCAUGGCUCAACAGGAAAUAUCUGGAACCUACAAGUGGAUUUUGGAAUUUGGACCCUUUUCAAAUUAAAUUAUGGUCAGAGAUCCAACAGAUAUAAUUGAUAGUUUCAAAAGCUAGGAAUAUUAAACCAAGUUCAAAAUGCAUCGCCUUUAAUACUCGCAAAUUAUCAAGACUUAAAUUCAGUCUGCACAGUGGAUUGAAAGUGAAAGGUUUAUGAUCUCUCCAUAUACCAGACAAGUGGUUUCAAAGAAACGAGGGCAAAAUCAUGUGGAUUUAACAUGUGUAAUCCGUGAUAGAAGAAAAUAACCAUGAAGAUUUCUUCUUAUUAAACUAUGGAAUCAAUGUUAAUUUGGAGGAUUUUUUUUUGUGCAAUGACAGCAAGAACUUGUGAGAUAACAUCCGUUUGCUCCAGUUUACUUGUACUUAAAUACUUGGGUGAAAUAGAACGUCAUAUAAAGCAAACAAAGAUCAACUAAUCUGCAUUUGAUUCUACAGCAGCGCACUGUGCAAAGAAUACAUCUGAUGUCAUCUAUUUGAAUAACGAAACUCCAUCUGUGGAAUGAAAGGCCUUUUCAGUUCCAGCUACAAACUCUAUAUACAAAGGAUGUCUGGAUGCACAGGAAAGAACGGUACUGAAGUGAUUUCGAUAUUAACAGGAGUUGGCCGAAAUGAUAGCGGUAAAACGGAUGGCAUUCAGAAUCUUCAUCAAGCGAAUAUUAGAACUCGGUGCCUUUAAAAGGAAAUAUUGGAUGGCGAUCCAACAGAUGCAGCUUGUGUCUUUGGUCUGAUAUUAGAGCAAACCCAAAAUGAGUAUUUUGUGCCAAUAUAUUAUCAAUGAUAUGCAUGGUGGAAAUGUAAAUGUAUAUGUAGUUAACAUUACUUGAGGAUAUCAAUACAUCUCUGAAAUACUUUGUUCUUCUAUUUUAAGGUGUUGAAUAUUUAUAUAUUUUUGGAGAAUUCUUUCAAUCAAUGCGUAAUUGUUCUUGAACUUGGAAUUCUUGGAACUUGGAAAAGGUUGAAGUGCAUGGAAUGUAAAUCGUUCAAAGCCUGUGUUUGGCAUAUGAAUCAAUAUUUCUUAACUGUUCUGGAAAUUGUUAUGCAUAUGUCCAUUUUAAUAGCUUCUGGUACAUUAUAUUUCCUUCAAAGUGGAUAUUUGUAUUCUACUCUUUUAGACACAAGUAUUUUUUUUAAAUAUUAUAGACAUAUGAAACAUUUUUAUGGAUAAAUUAAAAUUUGAUAGUGUGUUUGAUUUUUUGCUGAAUAUCUAAAACCAAUUUCCAUCAAUUUUUCUUUCAACGCGUAUAAAAUUGACUUCAAAAUUUCAUUUGUAACCAUACUCUUAUUAGAAGUUAACAAGUCGAACUUUUGUUACUCUCCCAGCAAUAUAGCCAGUGAUCUCAACCACUGUCACAGAAUUGAAAUAAAAAAUAUAUAACGCCUUAAUUUGCAUUUGACAUUUCUCCAUUGUCAACGGAGAAUACACUUUCAUGAUAUUGGAUGAUUUGUUAACAUUCUUUUUCAUCAUCGAUUGCAUUAUUAAAAUUCUAAAAAUUUAAUUUUUUGUCAACCGAUUAGGUGUUAUUCCUUCUCAUCAACAUAAUUGUUUGUAGACAGUUUUCAAUUUUUUGACAGAUUUUACAAAGUAGUCUUUCUUUAUUUUCAUUUAUUACUGAAUGUCAAAGAUCGCGAAAGCAAUUUCAUUCAUUUUUCCUGAAUAGAAAUUUAAAUAUAGUGUCAAAGAUCAUUAUUUGAAAUUUAAUUUCAACACUUUGAGAAAUUUUAUCACGAUUUUUGUAGCUAUAUUAAUCAAAUAUCUGUACAUUGCAUCCAUUUUCAAUUAUUUUUUUAAAUCAAGAUUCUAUUCUUAUUAAAUUUAUUAAAAAUUGGUGAUAAUAAAUGAUUAAUAGAACUUCACUUUGUGACUAUGAAAUAAGUUACCACAAACUCAGUAUAUUUAGUGUAAUGGCUAUGU